GGCCUAGGAGUCUUAACCGGCGACGCUUAUAUUACGCCCGUUCGGGCUUGCCCGGACUAUGGCGAUAAACGACUGCGUAAUAAGCGGCCCGGACCCGGGGGCGGUACCCGGCGCCUCCACCAUUCUCCCUUCAGAAAAGGGAAUACGGGGGCGAAACAGGAUCGACGGACGUGUAAAGGCAGACCUUUCGCUCGGUAUGGUAUCCGCCGUUAUCGGGCUACUCGUAUAGGUGCCAACGAUAAUGAAAUGGCCCUCGCUGCCUAACUUCUAGUUAGAUAAGCGCGGCUCGGGGGGCGCCGGGCAACAGAAGCCCCCCACU
rnacentral:tmRNA from 1 species